CUCCACUUCAACUGUGGAAACUGUGAGGAUGGCGGCAGCUCGUUCCUCACAGGCUGCUGUGCGGGUGGACGACCUGAAAACAGGAAGGGCAGACUUGCUGCCCACUUCCUGCUAGCACCCUCUUCAGCAGAGCUGACUGGAAGCUUUUUUCCCCUGAGAAAGGAAAAAUGGUGCACAGUGGGCGGGGAACGGCCGAGUCACUGACCUGUGUUUGGAUCCUUGGUCUUACCAGCAUCUCAGUGGCUGAGACCGGGGCUGGUGUGCAGGGCCACUCGGGGACCUGCUCAUGCCGCAGCACAGAGCCUACCACUGCAGGAAUGGUGCUGACCGCCACCGGCAACACGGUGGCCGUCUGCCACCUCCGGCUUGGACAUCAGGACACCAGCCUGUGCCCUCAUCUGAUAAGUGUAAGACACUAUCCUUCACUUUGAGGAUGGCCCUAAGGAUUCCUUGAGAUCGGAAGUCACCUUCAGGACCCGUGGCAGAGUCCAGGACACGGUGGGGCUCCAACCAAUGCUUGUUCCUCUGAAUGAUGGUAAGAACAUU
rnacentral:lncRNA from 1 species